CCUGGAACUCCCUUGGUAGACCAGGCUGGCCUCGAACUCACAGAGAUCCGCCUGCCUCUGCCUCCCGAGUGCUGGGAU
rnacentral:miRNA from 1 species